GGAACAAUAGCCUAAUUGGUGGCGAGUCACAUCUGUCGCACACAGAGAAGACCCCAGUUCGAUCCUGGGUUGUUCCA